rnacentral:misc_RNA from 1 species
UACGGAGGGUACAAGCGUUAUCCGGAAUCACUGGGCGUAAAGGGCGCGUAGGUGGUCCACUAAGUCCGAUGUUAAAGACCGGGGCUCAACCCCGGCACGGCGUUGGAUACUGGUGGGCUUGACGGCUGGAGAGGCGAGUGGAAUUACCAGUGUAGCGGUGGAAUGCGUAGAUACUGGUAGGAACACCCAUUGCGAAGGCAGCUCGCUGGACAGCACGUGACACUGAGGCGCGAAAGUGUGGGGAGCAAACCGG